CCUAGUGGCUAUGGCGAGGGGAAACACCCGUUCCCAUCCCGAACACGGAAGUUAAGCCCUCCAGCGCCGAUGGUAGUUGGGGCCAGCGCCCCUGCAAGAGUAGGUCGCUGCUAGGC
rnacentral:rRNA from 1 species